rnacentral:rRNA from 1 species
UGGGGAAUAUUGCACAAUGGGGGAAACCCUGAUGCAGCGACGCCGCGUGAGCGAAGAAGUAUUUCGGUAUGUAAAGCUCUAUCAGCAGGGAAGAAAAUGACGGUACCUGACUAAGAAGCACCGGCUAAAUACGUGCCAGCAGCCGCGGUAAUACGUAUGGUGCAAGCGUUAUCCGGAUUUACUGGGUGUAAAGGGAGCGUAGACGGAUGGGCAAGUCUGAAGUGAAAGCCCGGGGCUCAACCCCGGGACUGCUUUGGAAACUGUUCAUCUAGAGUGCUGGAGAGGUAAGUGGAAUUCCUAGUGUAGCGGUGAAAUGCGUAGAUAUUAGGAGGAACACCAGUGGCGAAGGCGGCUUACUGGACAGUAACUGACGUUGAGGCUCGAAAGCGUGGGGAGCAAACA